UUUCCUACGGGGGGCUGCAGUGGGGAAUAUUGCACAAUGGGCGCAAGCCUGAUGCAGCCAUGCCGCGUGUAUGAAGAAGGCCUUCGGGUUGUAAAGUACUUUCAGCGGGGAGGAAGGUGUUGUGGUUAAUAACCGCAGCAAUUGACGUUACCCGCAGAAGAAGCACCGGCUAACUCCGUGCCAGCAGCCGCGGUAAUACGGAGGGUGCAAGCGUUAAUCGGAAUUACUGGGCGUAAAGCGCACGCAGGCGGUCUGUCAAGUCGGAUGUGAAAUCCCCGGGCUCAACCUGGGAACUGCAUUCGAAACUGGCAGGCUAGAGUCUUGUAGAGGGGGGUAGAAUUCCAGGUGUAGCGGUGAAAUGCGUAGAGAUCUGGAGGAAUACCGGUGGCGAAGGCGGCCCCCUGGACAAAGACUGACGCUCAGGUGCGAAAGCGUGGGGAGCAAACAGGAUUAGAUACACUGGUAGUCUU
rnacentral:rRNA from 1 species